rnacentral:rRNA from 1 species
AGAGUUUGAUCCUGGCUCAGGAUGAACGCUGGCGGCGUGCUUAACACAUGCAAGUCGAGGGGAAACGAUAUUGGAAGCUUGCUUCCGAUAGGCGUCGACCGGCGCACGGGUGAGUAACGCGUAUCCAACCUGCCCACCACUUGGGGAUAACCUUGCGAAAGUAAGACUAAUACCCAAUGAUAUCUCUAGAAGACAUCUGAAAGAGAUUAAAGAUUUAUCGGUGAUGGAUGGGGAUGCGUCUGAUUAGCUUGUUGGCGGGGUAACGGCCCACCAAGGCGACGAUCAGUAGGGGUUCUGAGAGGAAGGUCCCCCACAUUGGAACUGAGACACGGUCCAAACUCCUACGGGAGGCAGCA